GACGAACGCUGGCGGCGUGCUUAACACAUGCAAGUCGAACGGAAAGGCCCUGCUUUUGUGGGGUGCUCGAGUGGCGAACGGGUGAGUAACACGUGAGUAACCUGCCCUUGACUUUGGGAUAACUUCAGGAAACUGGGGCUAAUACCGGCUAGGAGCUCCUGCUGCAUGGUGGGGGUUGGAAAGUUUCGGCGGUUGGGGAUGGACUCGCGGCUUAUCAGCUUGUUGGUGGGGUAGUGGCUUACCAAGGCUUUGACGGGUAGCCGGCCUGAGAGGGUGACCGGCCACAUUGGGACUGAGAGACGGCCCAGACUCCUACGGGAGGCAGCAGGGGGGAAUAUUGCACAAUGGGCGGAAGCCUGAUGCAGCAACGCCGCGUGCGGGAUGACGGCCUUCGGGUUGUAAACCGCUUUCGCCUGUGACGAAGCGUGAGUGACGGUAAUGGGUAAAGAAGCACCGGCUAACUACGUG
rnacentral:rRNA from 1 species